AACGAACGCUGGCGGCAUGCCUAACACAUGCAAGUCGAACGAGACCUUCGGGUCUAGUGGCGCACGGGUGCGUAACGCGUGGGAACCUGCCCUUAGGUUCGGAAUAACUCCCCGAAAGGGGUGCUAAUACCGGAUAAUGUCUUCGGACCAAAGAUUUAUCGCCUUUGGAUGGGCCCGCGUUGGAUUAGCUAGUUGGUAGGGUAAAAGCCUACCAAGGCGACGAUCCAUAGCUGGUCUGAGAGGAUGAUCAGCCACACUGGGACUGAGACACGGCCCAGACUUCUACGGGAGGGAGGAGUGGGGGAUAUUGGACAACGGGGCAAAGGCUGAUCCAGCCAUGCCGCGUGAGUGAUGAAGGCCUUAGGGUUGUAAAGCUCUUUUACCCGGGAUGAUAAUGACAGUACCGGGAGAAUAAGCUCCGGCUAACUCCGUG
rnacentral:rRNA from 1 species